rnacentral:rRNA from 1 species
GCGACAACCUUGUCCUUAGUUACCAGCACGUUAUGGUGGGCACUCUAAGGAGACUGCCGGUGACAACCGGAGGAAGGUCGGGAUGACGUCAAGUCAUCAUGGCCCUUACGGCCUGGGCUACACACGUGCUACAAUGGUCGGUACAAAGGGUUGCCAAGCCGCGAGGUGGAGCUAAUCCCAUAAAACCGAUCGUAGUCCGGAUCGCAGUCUGCAACUCGACUGCGUGAAGUCGGAAUCGCUAGUAAUCGUGAAUCAGAAUGUCACGGUGAAUACGUUCCCGGGCCUU